rnacentral:lncRNA from 1 species
CUGCACUGCUUUUUUAAAGAAAGAAUGGGUUAUUAUGCACAUGUAGGAUUUACUUAGGAAACCUGGGCAUUGUUUCUGUGGAGUGUUUCAGAUGUGUCCUUGUUGCUAAUUAGGAAAGCAAGAACAAUAUCUUCAGAUGAUCUGAAAUCCUCUGGCUGGUGCGGCAGUUCCUUUAGGAGAUGAAGGAGUCAAGUGUGGAGUAGUCAUUCUUACCCUGUGUGGAUGCCAAUGACACCUGAACCAUGAUGCCUUCAAUGCUUUGAAAAUGCCUGAGAGUCCUAAGGAGCAAGCAGGAAUUGGCAUCUCCUGUUUACACGUGGGAAAACAGAGGUUGCACCUGCUCUCCAGGAUACUACCCAGGGGUAAACAUAAAGAAGGCAAAAAGCCAGCAACACACGUGCAGUUCCCACGGGAAAUGCAGGCAGGUAUUUCUCUACGUGCGGUAAAAUGCCAGGUUCUGGGUGUCUGCUCUGUCCCUUUGCUAGGAUGA